CUACGGGCGGCACCAGUGAGGAAUAUUGCACAAUGGGGGGAACCCUGAUGCAGCAACGCCGCGUGGAGGAUGACGCAUUUCGGUGUGUAAACUCCUUUUAUAUGUCAAGAAAAUGACGGUAGCAUAUGAAUAAGCACCGGCUAACUCCGAUGCCAGCAGCCGCGGUAAUACGGAGGGUGCAAGCGAUUACUCGGAAUCACUGGGCGUAAAGGACGCGUAGGCGGGUUGGAAAGUCAGGUGUGAAAUCCUACAGCUUAACUGUAGAACUGCACUUGAAACUUCUAAUCUGGAGUAUGGGAGGGGGAGAUGGAAUUAGUGGUGUAGGGGUAAUAUCCGUAGAUAUCACUAGGAAUACCUAAAGCGAAGGCGAUCUCCUGGAACAUUACUGACGCUAAGGCGUGAAAGCGUGGGGAGCAAACAGGAUUAGAUACCCUAGUAGUC
rnacentral:rRNA from 1 species